rnacentral:lncRNA from 1 species
CAGCAAUGUAGCGUGUUUCUUCUUCAACAAGUAAAUCUAGGUCCUGAGAUAUAUAAUAUUACUAGGAACUCUCCUGGGAAUAGUAAUGCAAUUAAGGUCAUAAUUAAAGCAUUCUUUCAUCUUUUGGGUCCAACGGGUAAAGCAGGAAACAAAGACUUUAAUGAGAACCCAGAGGAAAAGAGCAAAUUAUUAAAAGAAUGAGGGAAUAGUUACAUAAGAAAAGACUAGAAGAAUUAAAAAUUUUCAGAGCAGCGAAGUAAGGUCCUGUUAAAUCCUGGUUUUAAAUGCAUAUUCAAGAAUCUUUUACGAAAGGUGUUUCAUUUCUCUUCCAGAUCUAUAUUAAGUAAUUUUACUUGUGAAAUAUAGGUUAGACAGUAGGAAUAUGUUAUCAACUUGAGUUUUAUGGGAAACAGAAGCAUAGAAUCAAAGCUAGUUUGAAAAUGGAUUUAGUGUCAUUUUAGUGCUUCCAGAAUUUCUUGUGGUGAAGAAGAUGUGACACAGCUUGGCCCAGAGUAACCUGAGGCUCAUAGCUAUCUUAUUCAUUCAUAGGAGUGGAAGAAUAGAUUAAGGUCUUCCUUUGUCCACAUCAAAUCAUUAUUAUUCAAGUGCCUCUACCAGAAGCUUCAAGGCAUCUUUUCUCACCAGUGCCAAGUUCAGGCUUGACAAGAGAAACUUGAGAGGGUUUCAGGUGCUUGUUAGCCUCGUCGUGGUUUGGGCCAGAAAGUGGGCAGAAGAGCUUUUCAACUGAAAGUCCACUUAACUAGCAGUUUGAACCAAAAUAACAUUUGGUGACAUUUUGAACAAAAAUACACAGGGCCACAGAUUUCAAUUCUCAUAGUCACCCUAAGCAACAACAGUUUUAGGGCAGAUGACAGUUUUUGGCUUGUUUUAAUCUAGAAUCAUUCCAUCUUCUCUUUCCAUUGGUAACUUUUCA